UGGGGGAUAUUGCACAAUGGGGGGAACCCUGAUGCAGCGACGCCGCGUGGGCGAUGGAGCGCCUCGGCGCGUAAAGCCCUAUCAGCAGGGAAGAAGAUGACGGUACCUGACUAAGAAGCCCCGGCUAAAUACGUGCC
rnacentral:rRNA from 1 species